rnacentral:rRNA from 1 species
AUUGAACGCUGGCGGCAGGCCUAACACAUGCAAGUCGAACGGAGCGGAGUACGGGUGGGUAAUGCCUGGGAAUCUGCCUGGUAGUGGGGGAUCCCGUCCGGCAACGGGCACUAAUACCGCAUACUAUCAGAUGAACCUAGGUCGGAUUAGCUAGUUGGUGGGGUAAAGGCUUACCAAGGCGACGAUCCGUAACUGGUCUGAGAGGAUGAUCAGUCACACUGGAACGGAGACACGGUCCAGACGCCUACGGGAGGCAGCAGUGGGGAAUAUUGGACAAUGGGCGAAAGCCUGAUCCAGCCAUGCCGCGUGUGUGAAGAAGGUCUUCGGAUUGUAAAGCACUUUAAGUUGGGAGGCGUUACCAACAGAAUAAGCACCGGCUAACUUCGUGCCAGCAGCCGCGGUAAUAC